UCUCCAUAACUAUAGAGUUAUGAGUAAAAAAAAAAAACAUUACACAAAUGUGCUCAAAACCCAAAUGAAUAAUAUUUUGUUGAAUUUCCAAGUUUAAGAUUAGGUAUAAUAAGAUUUUUCCCACAGCUGUUGGGCAAACAAGUGAGCACAAAAAACAUGCAUACAUUUACAAGACACAGCUACAUAAUGAAGGGACAUGGACAUGCCUCAGCACUCUUCAUCGCCUCAUAUAACAAUAAAACUUUGCCCUGGAAUGAUGAAGGGAAUGAAACAACAUUGACCAGAGAGGCCCCCGAUCAUUCUGCAUCACGGAGCCCCAUCCACAGACACUGGGGGGGGCUGAACCAGAGGAAGGGGUGUGCCGUUAUAAGAGGGGAGAGAAAGGGAGCAGGCAAGCAGUUGAACAAACCAAGAAGCUGAAGAUUGGACAUAACCGCCACACCUCAAGACCGAAAGUGAGAGAGAGACUGAGAGCAACCCCUUAUCACAG